UGACCAAGUUCAAUGAUAUUUAAAACCCUCAUAUCACAACAAGGAUGGCAAAUAGGAAUAGCUGAUAUGAUAAUAAUUUUUUCUUAUCAAACAAUGUGUCAUUCUCCUCUUUGCUUCUUUCUUUGGCACGUAGAUUCUUUUGUUUUAGAAGCAAAUUCAAUUACUGUCACCAUAUCACAAGUUCAAUAGGUUCUUUCUCUAAAAGAAAUGAGAAUCCUCCAAUAAAUAUAAAGUACAUUAAAUAGUCGGUAAAAGGUUCAUAUGUACUCUGCACAAGCAUUGAAAAGCUUCAUUUUUUUAUGGUAUAAACAAAGAAACUAGUUUAGAA
rnacentral:misc_RNA from 1 species